CUUCUAUCGCUGGCGCCACUCCCGCGCGCCCGCCCCCGCCCCGCCCCCCGCGCGGGCACCUGAGGCGCUGAGGGGGCGAAACGUGUGGGAGGGACCAGGAGCCGGAGGGUUGCGCUCCCCCUUGUUCUCCCUUUCUCUCUCCUUUUCCCCCUUUUUUCUCCUUUUUUUCCUCCCUUUUUCUCCCUGUGUCCUUGUCGCUGUCCCCGGGAGCUGCGGGGCCGUUCGUGAGGGUACCGCCCUCUGCCCGUCCCGCCCCCUCAGCGGCCCCGGGGCCGUGAGGGCGCCGUGCCCGGUGAUGGCACCCGAGCGGUGCAGCCGCUUCGGACCGGGCAGGACAGCUCGGAGAGAGGGGACAAAGCCGGACUGAAACUUUCCUCCUCCGAGAAGAGAAGCAGAAAUGCAAAACGUUGGGAUAAUUAAAUGCAGGUGUCUUGGAGGGGUUCAGGAAUGAUGCAGCGCUAUGGUGGAGUGGUCCCACAGUCCUUCAUCUGCAGGCAAGACUGGAGACUUCCUCAGGUCCAAAGUCUUCAAGCAGAAUGACCUGCUCCAACAUCAGUGAUGUCCACAGUGGAGCUGAUCAUGUCAGACACAGUGAGUAAACCAGAAUUAGCAAUUUUUUCAGUUCAUUAUGUCAAACAUAGUGAAUGCUGACAAAUAUUACAGCAGGUGCAGGAAUGUUACU